GGAUGAGAGGGCAGUCUGGCUGUGACAUCGGUCACUCCCUUUAUUGCCAGGGUUGAUUCAGCUGAUCUGGCUUGGUAGGUGGCUCUCCCCUUCUGCCCUCACCAUUCCAUAUGCAUCCCUCCCAAAACUACACACUUUGUUGAAGAGGAUGAACUUCCCUGAUACACGAGGACCAUUCUUUGGUCAAGGGCAUACAAGUAGCUGUGAUCCCCUGCUCAAACUUCCAAACAAGCUCUCAAGGAGCCCCUCUAAGUGGCAGCAGAGAGGUAGUGGUUAACAGCGUGGGUUCUGGGUUCAAAUCCUGAUACAACUCUUACUGAUUGGUGACAUCA
rnacentral:snRNA from 2 species